ACUUGCUUAAAAAGUUUUGACAUCAAGAUACUGAACUGUAUCACGUUUUAGGACCAUAAAAUCCUAAUAGUGGAUGCGUUUAAAUAAUAGGUUAGCAUACUUUAUAAAUGUUAGUAGAAUAGGAAAGUCUUCCUGGUGUAUAAACUAAACACUAGAAAAGUUGAAUGGACCAUAAUAAUUUAUGUAAUUAUCAAAUAGCUAAGUAAUUUCAGCUUUUGUUACUUGCUUUUACUAUCUCAGUUUUCUGUAAUUAAAGUCUCUAAAGUAUUCAUUAAAAUAUUUGUAAUAACAUGGUUGAAGUAAAAUAACUUGUAGGAAGUUUUUGAUAAUACCAAAACUUGAUAGGCAGCUUCAAUUUUUUUUCUUUAUUUUCAGUAAUCUAUGCCAGCAAUUAUGACAAUGUUAGCAGACCAUGCAGCUCGUCAGCUGCUUGAUUUCAGCCAAAAACUGGAUAUCAACUUAUUAGAUAAUGUGGUGAAUUGCUUAUACCAUGGAGAAGGAGCCCAGCAAAGAAUGGCUCAAGAAGUACUGACACAUUUAAAGGAGCAUCCUGAUGCUUGGACAAGAGUCGACACAAUUUUGGAAUUUUCUCAGAAUAUGAAUACGAAAUACUAUGGACUACAAAUUUUGGAAAAUGUGAUAAAAACAAGGUGGAAGAUUCUUCCAAGGAACCAGUGCGAAG
rnacentral:lncRNA from 1 species